rnacentral:rRNA from 1 species
UACGUAGGGUGCAGGCGUUAAUCGGAAUUACUGGGCGUAAAGCGUGCGCAGGCGGUUUGCUAAGACAGGUGUGAAAUCCCCGGGCUUAACCUGGGAACUGCGCUUGUUACUGGCAAGCUUGAGUGUGGCAGAGGGGGGUGGAAUUCCUAGUGUAGAGGUGAAAUUCGUAGAUAUUAGGAAGAACACCAGUGGCGAAGGCGGCUCACUGGCCCGGUACUGACGCUGAGGCGCGAAAGCGUGGGGAGCAAACAGG